rnacentral:rRNA from 1 species
AACAAACGCUGGCGGCGUGCCUAACACAUGCAAGUCGUACGAGAAAGGGUCCUUCGGGGCCUGAGUAAAGUGGCGCACGGGUGAGUAACGCGUGGAUAAUCUGCCCUUCAGUUGGGAAUAACUCAUCGAAAGGUGGGCUAAUACCGAAUAAUGCUGUGAGACCUCGGUUGAUCAGCCAAAGAGAGCCUCUGCUUGCAAGCCCUCGCUGAAGGAUGAGUCCGCGUACCAUUAGCUAGUUGGUAGGGUAAUGGCCUAACAAGGCGACGAUGGUUAGCUGGUCUGAGAGGAUGAUCAGCCACACUGGAACUGAGACACGGUCCAGACUCCUACGGGAGGCAGCAGUGAGGAAUCUUGCGCAAUGGGGGCAACCCUGACGCAGCAACGCCGCGUGAGUGAGGAAGGUCUUCGGAUCGUAAAGCUCUGUCGGAUGGAAAGAACCGCAUAGGGGUAAACAGCCCCUGUGUCUGACGGCACCAUCAAAGGAAGCACCGGCUAACUCCGUGCCAGCAGCCGCCGCCGUAA